AGGCGCGUAGCUCAGUCGGUUAGAGCGCUGUCUUGACAUGGCAGAGGUCGUUGGUUCAAUUCCAAUCGCGCCUACCA
rnacentral:tRNA from 1 species